ACUCCUACGGGAGGCAGCAGUAGGGAAUCUUCCACAAUGGACGAAAGUCUGAUGGAGCAACGCCGCGUGAGUGAAGAAGGGUUUCGGCUCGUAAAACUCUGUUGUUAAAGAAGAACAUAUCUGAGAGUAACUGUUCAGGUAUUGACGGUAUUUAACCAGAAAGCCACGGCUAACUACGUGCCAGCAGCCGCGGUAAUACGUAGGUGGCAAGCGUUGUCCGGAUUUAUUGGGGCGUAAAGCGAGCGCAGGCGGUUUUUAAGUCUGAUGUGAAAGCCUUCGGCUUAACCGGAGAAGUGCAUCGGAAACUGGAUAACUUGAGUGCAGAAGAGGGUAGUGGAACUCCAUGUGUAGCGGUGGAAUGCGUAGAUAUAUGGAAGAACACCAGUGGCGAAGGCGGCUACCUGGUCUGCAACUGACGCUGAGACUCGAAAGCAUGGGUAGCGAACAGGAUUAGAUACCCUGGUAGGAUAGCG
rnacentral:rRNA from 1 species